rnacentral:rRNA from 1 species
UACCAGCACCCCGAGUGGUCGGGACGUUUUAUUGGGCCUAAAGCAUCCGUAGCCGGUUCUACAAGUCUUCCGUUAAAUCCACCUGCUUAACAGAUGGGCUGCGGAAGAUACUAUGGAGCUAGGAGGCGGGAGAGGCAAGCGGUACUCGAUGGGUAGGGGUAAAAUCCGUUGAUCCAUUGAAGACCACCAGUGGCGAAGGCGGCUUGCCAGAACGCGCUCGGACGGUGAGGGAUGAAAGCUGGGGGAGCAAAC